rnacentral:rRNA from 1 species
AUGGCGCUUAGAUAUGGUCUAUCUAUUGCUCAAAGGGCGGGCUGCAACCGCUUAGUUAUUAACUCAGAUAACAUGGAGGUUAUCGAAACCAUGAACAAUGGAGGACGGUCAUCUAGUAUAGCGGCGGCAGUGUUGGACGAUUGUUAUUUUUUAGCAUGUGACUUUCCCAUUACUAAAUUUGAGCAUUGUAAUAGAGAAGCAAAUAGGGUCGCACAUGAACUUGCUAACUUAGCUAGAUUUUCUUCACCUUUGAACUGGUUUGAGGAGCCCUUGAGUGAAAUUGUAUCCCUCCUCAUAAACGAUGUACUUGUUAUCGUAAAUGAAUAA